CGGCUUUGGAGACUUGCUAUAAAAGAUGCCCUUUUGGAGAAGUGCGGUGGCUGCUAAAUGUGGAAUCCUCAAGACCCAAAAGUAUAGGUAUAUACGAGUGUGCUGACCCGUUAGCACACAUCAUGAGUACAUCAUGGGUACAUCACCCAAAAGUAUAGGCAUAUACGAGGGCGACAUAGGACCAAAGAACCACAUUUAAUAUUCAAGACUAUAUGUACAUCAACUCCACCUUAUAGACACUUUUGUUGAGAUAAUCAAA